rnacentral:rRNA from 1 species
AUUGAACGCUGGCGGCAGGCCUAACCCAUGCAAGUCGAACGAGUGGCGGACGGGUGAGUAAUGUCUGGGAAACUGCCUGAUGGAGGGGGAUAACUACUGGAAACGGUAGCUAAUACCGCAUACCAUCGGAUGUGCCCAGAUGGGAUUCGCUAGUUGGUGGGGUACCGGCUCACCUAGGCGACGAUACCUAGCUGGUCUGAGAGGAUGACAAGCCAAACUGGAACUGAGACACGUUCCAGACUCCGAUGGGAGGCAGCAGUGGGGAAUAUUGCACAAUGGGCGAAAGCCGGAUGCAGCCAUGCCGCGUGUAUGAAGAAGGCCUUCGGGUGGUAAAGUACUUUCAGCGGGGAGGCGUUACCCGCAGAAGAAGCACCGGCUAACUCCGUGCCAGCAGCCGCGGUAAUAC